rfam:Opisthocomus hoazin contig88769, whole genome shotgun sequence.
CUGCAUGUUUGAAAAAAAAAAAAUUCUGCUCCUCAUUCCCAUGAGGAGCAUGAAUAUAUGUAUAACAUGCUACAGAAAACAAGGAGUUUUCAGGGCUGCCAGUCUUGCAGAAAAGACUGAGUGGUAGUAUAGGUCUCCUACAUAU